CUGAAUUUAAGGCUGUAGGGCUUCUCGAAGCCCUCUCAAGUCCAUGGGCUGCUGGGUUGUAAACAUCAGCUGUACCCAAGUUCCUGUACAAGUCGGGGGCAGGGGAGGCAGGGGUGUUGCAGGGAAGGGCCCAGAUUAAACAAAGCCUGCCACAACCACGCUCAAGGCACCACCACCACCACCCCCCCCGCCGCCCCGCAAAGCCACUGGGGAUCCCACCCACAAGCCAGUGAGCGAGCAGUGCAGAGCCCAGCAGUGUGGGAGCCCAGGGCCAGACUGCUUGGGGCCCAGGAUCCCUGCUGGACACAGCUCUCUGUGUAUCCUGUCACAUCUGGGGAAGUCAGCAGGUGGGAACAUCCAGGAAAAAAUAGAACCCGUGAAGCUGUCUUCCCAGCAGGUAGGUCUGUGAGCUCAGGGAGGGAAAGCCCCAUCUCCUUCCACUGGACACACUGACCUUCUUUAGAAGGUCUCUUUAGACUGGAGUCAGGAGUGUCUAGACCACAGGAAAGCUUUUCCCAUCAGUGAGCAACAUGCUGACAAGCAGGGCUUCGGCUCAGCCCCGUGAAAUCUGAUGACUCAGGAGGACGUGCUGUCUCUCCACAGGCUUGUUUGCUGGGCGCUGGCACUGGGCCCUCUCCGGGCCAGGUGUGAGGCUAGGGAGAGAAGCCAGGCCCAGGCCUUACCCUCAAAGGGUGUACAGUCUAGAAGAGGGCACGGAUGUGGAAACACCUCAGUGUGUCUUCAUGAGAAAACUGAAAAAAGGAAGGAAGUGAGGGCGGCCAACGGAGUGUGAGCCGAAGCCAUGCGUCUCUCCUGUGGGCUGAGGACAUGAAGAAACACAUGUGCCUCGUCUACCUCUCUUUCCCCUGCUGCCGUGAUCACGUGGUCUAGGAGAUGGCGGAAUCCUGGGGACAGAAGGAGCUGGAGUGCCCAGAUCUCCCCUUAGAGGCAGGCUUCUUGC
rnacentral:lncRNA from 1 species